GUCUGUGUGAAGUUAUACAGAGUCUAACCUGCCCAAUGAAUUUUAUUUUAAAGGCCGCAGUAAUUUGACUGUGCAAAGGUAGCAUAAUAAUUAGUUUUUUAAUUGAAGGCUUGUAUGAAUGGUUGGACAAAGAAAAAUCUGUCUUUUAUAUUAUCUUUGAACUUUACAUUUAAGUGAAAAGGCUUAAAUAAAAUUAAGGGACGAUAAGACCCUAUAAAUCUUUAUAUUGAAUAAAAUUUUUUUAUAAUUUUAUAAAAUUUAAUGAUGUUAUGUUGGGGCAACAAAAAUAUAAAAGAUAACUGUUUUGUAAAAAACACAUUUAUAUAUGUAAAUAUAAAAGAUCCUUUAAAAAGAUUAAAAGUUUAAGUUACUUUAGGGAUAACAGCGUUAUUUUUUUUGAAAGUUCCCAUUGAAAAAAAAGUUUGCGACCUCGAUGUUGAAUUAAAAUUUCUUUAUAGUGCAGUAGUUAUAAAAGAGAGUCUGUUCAACUUUUAAAAUUUU
rnacentral:rRNA from 1 species